GAUGAAGAACGUAGCGAAAUGCGAUAAGUAAUGUGAAUUGCAGAAUUCAGUGAAUCAUCGAAUCUUUGAACGCACAUUGCGCCCGUCAGUAUUCUGGCGGGCAUGCCUGUUCGAGCGUCAUUACGCCCCUCAAGUCCCCUGUGGACUUGGUGUUGGGGAUCGGCGAGGCUGGUUUUCCAGCACAGCCGUCCCUCAAAUUAAUUGGCGGUCUCGCCGUGGCCCUCCUCUGCGCAGUAGUAAAACACUCGCAACAGGAGCCCGGCGCGGUCCACUGCCGUAAAACCCCCCAACUUUUUAUAGUUGACCUCGAAUCAGGUAGGACUACCCGCUGAACUUAAGCAUAUCAAUAAGCGGAGGA
rnacentral:misc_RNA from 1 species